rnacentral:rRNA from 1 species
AUGGAACGCUGGCGGCAGGCCUAACACAUGCAAGUCGAACGAGUGGCGGACGGGUGAGUAAUGCAUGGGAAACUGCCUGAGGGAGGGGGAUAACUACUGGAAACGGUAGCUAAUACCGCAUACCAUCAGAUGUGCCCAGAUGGGAUUAGCUUGUUGGUGGGGUAACGGCUCACCAAGGCGACGAUCCCUAGCUGGUCUGAGAGGAUGACCAGCCACAAUGGAACUGAGAUACGGUCCAGACUCCUACGGGAGUCAGCAGUUGGGAAUAUUGCACAUUGGGGGCAAGACUGAUGCAGUCAAGCCGCGUGUAUGAAGAAGGCUUUCGGGUUGUAAAAUACUUUCAGCGGGGAGGCGUUACGCGAAGGAGAAGCACCGGCUAACGCCGUGCCAGCAGCCGCGGUAAUAC